rnacentral:rRNA from 1 species
CAGUGAGGAAUAUUGCCCAAUGGACGCAAGUCUGAGGCAGCAACGCCGCGUGGGCGAUGAAGGCCUUCGGGUUGUAAAGCCCUUUUCUGGGGGACGAGAAAGGACGGUACCCCAGGAAUAAGUCACGGCUAACUACGUGCCAGCAGCCGCGGUAAUACGUAGGUGGCCAGCGUUAUCCGGAUUCACUGGGCGUAAAGCGCGUGCAGGCGGUUCUGUAAGUCGGACGUGAAAGCUCCUGGCUUAACUGGGAGAGGUCGUUCGAUACUGCGGGGCUUGAGGUCGGGAGAGGGACGUGGAAUUCCCGGUGUAGUGGUGGAAUGCGUAGAUAUCGGGAGGAACACCAGUGGCGAAGGCGGCGUCCUGGCCCGCACCUGACGCUAAGACGCGAAAGCGUGGGAAGCGAACGGGAUUAGAUACCCCGGUAGUCCACGCUGUAAACGGUGGAUACUAGGUGUUGGUGGCUAUCGUCAUCAGUGCCGUAGCUAACGCGUUAAGUAUCCCGCCUGGGGACUACGGCCGCAAGGCUA